UGAGUUGGAUAAAUGAUCGCGGCUGCAAGUACCGAAAGGUCGCAGGUGAGGAAAGUCCGGGCUUCAUAGGGCAGGGUGCCAGAUAACGUCUGGUGGAGGCGACUCCCAGGCUAGUGCAACAGAAAUAAACCGCCAGUUUUACUGGUAAGGGUGGAAAGGCGAGGUAAGAGCUCACCGCUGGACUGGUAACAGGACAGGCUCUGUAAACCCCACUCGAAGCAAGACCAAAACGUGAGCGAUACGGCUGCCCGUCGUGCUUACAGGUAGGUCGCUUGAUCUUGUUGGUGACAGCAAGGCUAGAUAGAUGAUCAUUCUCGACAUAACCCGGCUUAUCGUCCAACUCAUGGU
rnacentral:RNase_P_RNA from 2 species